AUACGGAGGGUGCAAGCGUUACUGGGAAUCACUGGGCGUAAAGCGCGCGCAGGCGGUCUUUUAAGUUGGAUGUGAAAGCCUACGGCUCAACCGUAGAACUGCAUCCAAAACUAUUAGACUAGAGUGUGGGAGAGGAAGAUGGAAUUAGUUGUGUAGGGGUAAAAUCCGUAGAGAUAACUAGGAAUACCAAAAGCGAAGGCAAUCUUCUGGAACACUACUGACGCUGAGGCGCGAAAGCGUGGGGAGCAAACAGGAUUAGAAACCCUUGUAGUCC
rnacentral:rRNA from 1 species